rnacentral:rRNA from 1 species
CCUACGGGAGACAGCAGUGAGGAAUAUUGGUCAAUGGACGUAAGCCUGAACCAGCCACGCCGCGUGAGGGAUGAAGGUUCUAUGGUUCGUAAACCUCUUUUAUAAGGGAGUAAAGUGUGGGACGUGUCCUAUUAUGUAUGUACCUUAUGAUUAAGGAUCGGCUAACUCCGUGCCAGCAGCCGCGGUAAUACGGAGGAUCGGAGCGUUAUCCGGAUUUCUUGGGUUUAAAGGGUGGGUUGGCGGCCUUUUAAGCCAGCGGUGAAAGGCUGUGGAUCAAACAUGGAAUUGCGGUUGAAACUGGUGGGCUUGAGUAUGUUUGAGGCAGGCGGAAGGCGUGGUGUAGCGGUGAAAUGCUUAGAUAUCACGCAGAACCCCGAUUGCGAAGGCAGUCUGCUAAGCCAUGACUGACGCUGAUGCACGAAAGCGUGGGGAUCAAACAGGAUUAGAUACCCGAGUAGUC